GAAUGCUGACAUAAGUAACGAUAAAGCGGGUGAAAAGCCCGCUCGCCGGAAGACCAAGGGUUCCUGUCCAACGUUAAUCGGGGCAGGGUGAGUCGACCCCUAAGGCGAGGCCGAAAGGCGUAGUCGAUGGGAAACAGGUUAAUAUUCCUGUACUUGGUGUUACUGCGAAGGGGGGACGGAGAAGGCUAUGUUGGCCGGGCGACGGUUGUCCCGGUUUAAGCGUGUAGGCUGGUUUUCCAGGCAAAUCCGGAAAAUCAAGGCUGAGGCGUGAUGACGAGGCACUACGGUGCUGAAGCAACAAAUGCCCUGCUUCCAGGAAAAGCCUCUAAGCAUCAGGUAACAUCAAAUCGUACCCCAAACCGACACAGGUGGUCAGGUAGAGAAUACCAAGGCG
rnacentral:rRNA from 1 species